rnacentral:rRNA from 1 species
AGAGUUUGAUCCUGGCUCAAGAUGAACCUUGGCGGCGUGCUUAACACAUGCAAGUCGAACGGGAACGGAAGGAAACCUAGUGAAUUCUGUUUUAGUGGCGGACGGGUGAGUAACGCGUGGGGAACCUGCCGUAUACAGGGGGAUAACACAUAGAAAUAGGUGCUAAUACCGCAUAAGCGCACGCCUUCCCAUGAAGGAGUGUGAAAAGGCGAAAGCCGGUAUACGAUGGCCCCGCGUCUGAUUAGCCAGUUGGCAGGGCAGCGGCCUACCAAAGCGACGGUCAGUAGCCGGCCUGAAAGGGCGGACGGCCACAUUGGGACUGAGACACGGCCCAGACUCCUGCGGGAGGCAGCAGUGGGGAAUAUUGCACAAUGGGGGGAACCCUGAUGCAUCUACGCCGCGUGAGUGAAGAAGUAUUUCGGUAUGUAAAGCUCUAUCAGCAGGGAAGAAAAUGACGGUACCUGAAUAAGAAGCCCCGGCUAACUACGUGCCGGCAGCCGCGGUAAUACGUAGGGGGCAAGCGUUAUCCGGAUUUACUGGGUGUAAAGGGAGCGUAGACGGUUAUGCAAGUCUGGAGUGAAAGCCCGGGGCUCAACCCCGGGACUGCUUUGGAAACUGUAAAACUGGAGUGCAGGAGAGGCAGGCGGAAUUCCUAGUGUAGCGGUGAAAUGCGUAGAUAUUAGGAGGAACACCAGUGGCGAAGGCGGCCUGCUGGACUGUAACUGACGUUGAGGCUCGAAGGCGUGGGGAGCAAACAAAAUUAGAUACCCUGGUAGUCCACGCGGUAAACGAUGAUCACUAGGUGUCGGAGGGUAGAGACCUUUUGGUGCCGCCGCAAACCGCAGUAAGUGAUCCACCUGGGGAGUACGUUCGCAAGAAUGAAACUCAAAGGAAUUGACGGGGACCCGCACAAGCGGUGGAGCAUGUGGUUUAAUUCGAAGCAACGCGAAGAACCUUACCUGGGCUUGACAUCCCGGCGAAUGCAGGGCAAUGCCUGCAGCCCUUCGGGGCGCCGGAGACAGGUGGUGCAUGGUUGUCGUCAGCUCGUGUCGUGAGAUGUUGGGUUAAGUCCCGCAACGAGCGCAACCCUUAUCUUUAGUAGCCAGCAGUAAGAUGGGGACUCUAGAGAGACUGCCGGGGACAACCCGGAGGAAGGCAGGGACGACGUCAAAUCAUCAUGCCCCUUAUGUCCAGGGCUACACACGUGCUACAAUGGCGUAAACAAAGGGAAGCGAGGGAGCGAUCCGGAGCAAAUCCCAAAAAUAACGUCUCAGUUCGGACUGCAGUCUGCAACCCGGCUGCACGAAGCCGGAAUCGCUAGUUAUCGCGGAUCAGAAUGCCGCGGUGAAUACGUUCCCGGGUCUUGCACACAAGGCCCGUCA